CUUUGAUCGUGGAGGAAGGUACAGGCCUGUGAUUGGCGAUUACUACCUUGUAGAUCUCUGCUGGAAGACAACAGAGUUUCUCCACUGGCGAUAUACGAGUCCCUGGGGUGCUGGCCCUGAUCUUGGCCUCCCUUUGGGGCUCCUCAGGAAGUGAAGAGGGGGCCCAGGGCCUCGGCGGAACAAACCUGCCCGACUGUAAAUUUCUGGCAAAAGAAUGGUCGCGUGUGAGAAGACUUCCUGUGGCUUCCAUACGGUCUGGAAAAAAAUGUAUCCUUAGAAGUCUCCUGACACGCAAAACCCUUGAUUGAGGAGACACAAAGAAAGAGAGGCAAACACACAACCAAUCUGGGAAGUGUGGGCUGCACCUGCUGCUUUUUGGGGAAAUAAAGGAAGCUGUAAGAUUGUCUCCAUCCCAAAAAAAUGUUUAUCCUAACUAAGAGGACAGAGACAAAGAAUGACAGAUGGUGGGAGAAGAAACGGAUCCAGGUACUUAAGGCAACAUUAACACAUAAGCAUGAAAAAUCAUCUCUCUUAAGACAAACCCAGUCUGGACACAAGACACAGGAUUUCACCUCGAUGCAGAUCUUCCUUCCUCUUGUUGAAAUUAUGAUAUUUUGUAUAAAUUGCUAUAUUUAUGCACAACUUACCAUUUAUAUAUGUUGCUGAUGAUGUCAUUCACAAACAAACUUUUAUAAUAUUUAUCUAACUUGCUGUUGAUUGUAGGACAGUCUGUUGUUUCAUCAUAAGAUUGAGUUAUGAGAUUUUGAUUAAAAAAUACAAUGUGAAAAAUGAAA
ensembl:lncRNA